ensembl:lncRNA
CAAUUUCCUCUAACAUAUGCGGAUAAUAAUAUUUGAGUGACUGGAUUUUUACAUAGAAAUAUACUAUCUGCUACAAAGUAUUCCUCUUCUCCCCAGGCAUACCACCAUCCACGUCGGAGUCCCGACCCAGUUUGGACUCAGCCCUAGUGGAAAGGAAUAAGCAUGUUUGGGAGAAGGACCCAUAUCCAGAUGACCGGGACUGGUCCAGGAGCCAGGAACGGAGGACGUUCAAGUUCAAGGUUUUUAUUUUGUCAAAUGAACAACAAACAUGCAGUAGCAGUCUUUGCUGGCAGUGACAUUCCAGUGUUCUAGGCUCUUCUCGACAGUGCAAGUAAGAGUAGAAAGUACAAUUAAAUAAAUACAAUAAAAUAAAGAAAGAAAAUAAAAGAGUGAGAGUGAUAGAUGCGUGAGACCGAGGACAGUGAGGAACGGGAAGAGGAUGCAGAGGACCCUUUGGACGCGAUCGCUGUGAUCGUGAGUUUGUGAACAAGGUUGGGCUGGGUGCGACCCCUAGUGGUCAAUCUUAUCCGUUUUUAUUCUUCAAAUGUACUCCUAUCCAAUAUAUCUUCACAAAAAUAAGUACAAAUGCAGUGCCAGUAGAAAACAAACACAGCACCUUUUACAAAACAUAUUUAUUUUUAUAUAAGGAAAACAGAUUACAGUUGUGCACAGCACAUACGUACAAAAAUAAAGAAAAACAUUUAUAAUAUACUAUUUCACAUACACUUCAUCGUAAUCUUUUGUUUUCAAGACCAAAUGAUGAAGAAGGAUAGAGAAGUCUGCCGUUUCAAACUUUAUUUACAAUCAUCUUAAUAAUCCCAACUAAGGCAGAAGGUGAGGUAUACGCAAGGAGGGCCUCUGACUGCCUCUCCCAGUGCAGGAAUAGAAAACCCAGGUGAAAAGACCACGGCGGUGGGCACACACGCAGACACCAGUCCGAAGAGUUUCAGUCCAGGUGUUACCACAAAGGAGCCAAACUGGCGGCUGAACCGAUCAUUGAUAGAACUGACUGGAACUGGAGUCAAACCAGCUCUUUUUAGAAAUCUUUUCCUCCAAAAUUGACGGGGUUUUAAAAAUAAUCAGCAGAAUGUACUGAUAUACCACUACAUAUUGGAAGAAAACCCCUGUAUCUCUCCAUUGUCCUUUUGUGUCUUUUGUAACAUCCACAACCUUUUGAUUUAUUUUCUGUACACAUAACAUCAUAACAUAUUACAGCAUGACCCAGAAACCAUAUUGCCCACACAUUAAUACAAAUCACAUUGGGGAUUUUUCUUCUCUCGUGAUCAUGAAUGGAAAAUAAUAUUCAUCAAGCAUGAUUACACAUUGUCCAACAGAACCGAUCCCUGGAUGUGCAUCAUUUCCUGGACAAUGACAUCAGACGUCAUUGUGGUAUUCACUCCUAUUUUAAGAGUUGUGAAACACAGUUUUCAGUCUCUCACUCCGCCAUUCCUGGAAGUGUUUGAAUAUAUCUGACUAAGUAUUUUGCUACAUCCUCUUUCAUCCUCCUAUGUAUAUGAGGCCACCUGUUGUGCACCCCGUAGCUUGUGCAUGCUGGAGAUCCGACAUGCUAACCCGUCCGGACGAGAAUGCGGUAAUCACUUUGAAAGCACCGCUGUUAUUCCUGUCCCAAGGUAAGUGGAUCCAAAGACAUCCAAUCUUUCUUUGGCAAAACAAACACAAAUAAAUCAAGUUCAAACACCGCUCAACAUCACACAUCCGCCCACACUAACCUAGAAUAUUGCACUUUUGGAAGUGACAUCCGAUCCAUCCAUAAACUCUUAAAGUGAACCAUCACAUGCAUCACUUCUGAGCUGAGACUGCAACUUUCUAAAAGACUUAGAAAGUUAGUAGAUGAGGUAUAUAACAUGCUUAACUGUUGACAGCUAAAAGGUUUGAGCAUUCCAUAUAGCAAGCAAAUAGCAUUAAGAAGGAUUAUGCAAGGGAAAUAAAAUACAAAUGGUUAAAAAUAACAAAUGGCACUCACAAAUUACUGCUGAGAUUUCCGCCCAUUACAUCCCUGUCCCCGCUGACCUCAGGUGUUUAAGGGCCCGCUACAUCCCUGUCCCCGCCGACCUCAGGUGUUUGAGGGCCCGCUACAUCCCUGUCCCCGCUGACCUCAGGUGUUUGAGGGCCCACUACAUCCCUGUCCCCGCUGACCUCAGGUGUUUGAGGGCCCACUACAUCCCUGUCCCCACUGACCUCAGGUGUUUGAGGGCCCGCUACAUCCCUGUGUCUCCACCGUGUAAAACCACAGGAUUUAAGCAACUGAGCAGGAAGGACCUACGACACAGCGACUGAGAGGAGUGACCUACGACAGAGCGACUGAGAGGAGUGACCUACGACACAGCGACUGAGAGGAGUGACCUACGACACAGCGACUGAGAGGAGUGACCUACGACACAGCGACUGAG